ACGAAACUGGGUCUCUUCACAGACAGACCCACAGUUCGCGAGCAUGGCUCAGCGCUGCCCCGCUUCUCCCAGCGCCCCUUCCCGACCUUUGAACGCCUUCACCGCCCUAGGAAAGCGAGAUCUUGUCAGAGAACCUUCCGGCGCCUGUUUCCUGGCAGUGGGGCAUAGUCCAACAGCUGGCUCCCCCAAGAUAGCCAGCGGCCAUUACGCGCUUGGGUCGGGGGAGAUGGAGUCGCAUUUAGCCGCACAGCAGCCUGGAACCUGAAGUUUUCGGCCGCUGAGCGUUCUGGGUGAUUGCGUAGUGCGAGGGCCAACGAAACCUUCUGGGAAGUGUAGUCCAGCAAGCCGCUCACUUUUCGUGAGGCGUCACAUCCUGCUGCUUCACCCUCUGGUGCACGGGAGGACCAACUAUUUCAGUCGAAGGUGCUCAGAGUAAUGCUCAUGAACACUUGUGGACCAGAGAUGAGCUGCCUUCCCAAAACAUAACUUGAAGGUCAUGAUGUUCUGUUUUCUAGUUAUGCUGACGACUCAAAUCAGACACGAGUGAAAUUUGGUGCCAUGACUCAGAUCGGGGGACUUCCCUUGGGAGAUCAAUCCCCUGUCCUCCUGCUCUUUGCUGCGUGAGAAAGAUCCACCUAUGACCUCGGGUCCUCAGACCAACCAACCCAAGGAACAUCUCACCAAUUUUAAAUCGGAUCUUGGCUUAGUGGCUGAAGACUGAUGCUCCCCGAUCACCUCAGAAGCUUCCUGGACCAUCACAGACACUUUGGGUAACUCUUACAGUGGAGGGUAAGUCCAUCCCCUUCUUAAUCAUUACAGAGGCUACCCACUCCACAUUACCUUCUUUUCAAGGGCCUGUUUCCCUUGCCUCCAUAACUGUUGUGGGUAUUGACAACCAGGCUUCUAAGCCUCUUAAAACUCCCCAACUCUGGUGCCAGUUUGGACAAUAUUCUUUUAUGCACUCCUUUUUAGUUAUCCCUGCCUGCCCAGUUCCCUUAUUAGGCCGAGACAUUUUAACUAAAUUAUCUGCUUCCUAUGCUACAGCCACACCUCAUUGCCACCCUUUUCUCCAGUUCAAAGCCUCCUUCACAUCCUGCUCUUGUAUCUCCCCAUUUUAAUCCACAACUAUAGGAUACCUCUACUCCCUCCUUGGUGACCGAUCAUGCACCCCUUACCAUCCCAUUAAAACCUAAUCACCCUUACCCCACUUAAGGCCAAUAUCCCAUCCCACAGCACACUUUAAAAGGAUUAAAGCCUGUUAUCACUUGCCUGUUACAACAUGGCCUUUUAAAGCCUAUAAACUCUCCUUACAAUUCCCCCGUUUUACCUGUCCUAAAACCAGACAAGCCUUACAGAUUAAUUCAGGAUCUGCACCUUAUCAACCAAAUUGUGUUGCCUAUCCACCCCAUGGUGCCAAACCCAUAUACUCUCCUAUUCUCAAUACCUCCCUCCACAACCCGUUCUGUUCUAGAUAAACCUAGCUGACCCCAUAAAUCCUAAAUCCUUUCCCCACUCCCCUUUCCAUUCCUUAAAAAACAGCCCUAAAAGCUGCUCCCACACUAGCUCUCCCUAACUCAUCCCAACCCUUUUCAUUACACACAGCUGAAGUGCAGGGCUGUGCGGUCAGAAUGCUUACACAAGAGCUGGGACUGCACCCUGUAGCCUUUUUAUCCAAACAACUUGACCUUACUGUUUUAGUCUAGCCCUCAUGUCUGCAUGCAGCUGCUGCCACUGCCUUAAUACUUUUAGAGGCCCUCAAAAUCACAAACUAUGCUCAACUCACUCUCUACAGUUCUCAUAACUUACAUAAUCUAUUUUCUUCCUCACACCUGAUACAUAUACUUUCUGCCCCCUUCCACUACCUCUCAGCAAGCCGAACUCAUUGCCUUAACUUGAGCCCUCACUCUUCCAAAAGGACUGCACGUCAAUAUUUAUACUGACUCUAAAUAUGCCUUCCAUAUCCUGCACCACCAUGCUGUUAUAUGGGCAAGAAGAGGUUUCCUCACUAUGCAAGGGUCCUCCAUUAUUAAUUCCUCUUUAAUAAAAACUCUUCUCAAGGCCGGUUUACUUCCAAAGGAAGCUGGAGUCAUUCACUGCAAGGGCCGUCAAAAGGCAUCAGAUCCCAUUGCUCAGGGCAACGCAUAGGCUGAUAAGGUAGCUAAAAAAGCAGCUAGUGUUCCAACUUCUGUCCACCCCCAAAAUUUUUGCUGCCCCAACACUUCAAUACUAUUUUAUGUGAUUUUUCUUAUUAAUAUAAGAAGACAGGAAUGUCAGGGCUCUGAGACCAAGCUAAGCCAUCAUAUACCCUGUGACCUGCUUGUAUACAUCCAGAUGGCCCAAAGUAACUGAAGAAUCACAGAAGAAGUGGAAAUGGCCUGUUCCUGCCUUAACUGAUGACAUUACCUUGUGAAAUUCCUUCACCUGGGUCAUCCUGGCUCAAAAGCUCCCCCACUGAGCACCUUGUGACCCCCACCCCUGCCAGUCAAAGAACAACCCCCUUUGAGUGUAAUUUUCCACUACCUACCUAAAUCCUAUAAAACGGCCCAACCCCUAUAUCCCUUUGCUGGCUAUAUCCCUUCACUGGCUCUCUUUUUGGACUCAGCCUGCCUAGACCCAGGUGAUUAAAAAGCUUUAUUGCUCACACAAAGCCUGUUUGGUGGUCUCUUCACACGGUCGUGUGUGAAAAUCAUUUUUUAAUUUAAUCUACACAAUGAAUUCUAUGACUCAAGUGCUAUUAUUAUUUAAACUGCCUUUACAAAAAUCAUAAUUGAGGAAAUUAUGACAGUGGAAAUUAUGACAACCCCAUCUUCCUUCUAACCUCUAAACUGUCUUUGUCCAUUCCUGGGCAUAGGCCUUGGGAAAGAAUUUAGUUUAUAGUUUAAAUUCUGAAACAAAAUAUUGCUAAUAGUCUUUUCCCAAAAAAAACCCCUUCUUGCCUGAGGACCAGUCUGUCUUUGUCAGACUAACAAAUCAGCCACAAAAUUAGAGAUUGUGGUUCAGGGGCCAUGCAGCCUCUGGCUGUAGGAGUCUGAAUCUCCCCAAAUUGCUCCUGGGAAUAACAUCACUGUUGCAAAACUUAAGAUAGGUGCUUGAGAUAUUUUGCAAUCCCGCAGCAGAUAACACCACUCAGGCCAAUAAUCUGGCUCAACCAAUUUGGCGAUCCCACCCAGGAACAGAAGUCAUCAAGAAUAACUCACUUCGACCCCCCUAUGAUUUCAUCUUUAAACCGACCAAUCAGCACUCCCACUUUUCUAGGCCUUACCUGCCAACUUAUCCUUAAAAACUGAUCCCUGAAUGCUCUGGGAGGCUGAUUUGAGUAAUAAUAAAACUGGUUUCCCACACAGACUUCUCUGCAUGAAUUACUUUUGCCAUUGCAAUUCCCUUCUUAAUAAAUAGGCUCUGGGUAGGCAGCAGGAAAGGUGAACCCAAUGGGCAGUUACAUUAUAUUUUAUAAAUGAAGAACCUGAGGUUUAGAAAGAUUAAGUAAUUUAGCAUAGGUAGUACAUGUAAUAAAUGCUGGAGUUGAAAUACAAACACAGAGAAAUUCCAAAGCUGAUAUUCUUUACCAUGACACUAAUAUAAGGCAGAAGUUUUAAGAGUGGUUGAAAAAUGCUCACAGUCAACUUGGAAGAAAGACAGGUAGGAGUGAUACAUAUACAUGGAGAUUGAGGAGAGGCUGGAAAGAAGACAACUGGCAAAGAAUGUCACAUUGGCAAAGGCAGGGAGG
rnacentral:lncRNA from 10 species